UCACGUCUCUCCCUCUCUCCCUCACCCAUCUCACUUCCCUCUCUCCUUCACCCAUCUCACUUCUCUCUUCUCCCUCAACGCACGUAUCACUUCUCCCCUAAAAGAAGAAGAAGAAGAAGAAGAAAAAAGAGGAUUUUUGGCACAUUGACGUCGUGGGCCUCUAAGACUCUUCCACUUGCAAAUCCAAGGAGUGAACUUUAAAGACUUCAAGUGAUGAGAGCUAGAUGAGUUGAGGAGAUCGCUUGGAGGCAGACUCACCCAGUAAUCCAUGACAUGUGGUUUUAGUUUUGGACUUGUGGUUUAUAACACUUGUUCGUUAAUCAUUUAUUUACCC